rnacentral:Y_RNA from 1 species
GGCUUGUCUGAUAAUAGGGGGUUAUCAGAUGUUAACUUAUUAACAUUAGUGUCACUAAAGGUGGUAUGCACCCACCCCCUGCUAAAUUUAACUGGCUUUAA